rnacentral:rRNA from 1 species
GAUGAACGCUGGCGGCGUGCCUAAUACAUGCCAGUCGAGCGAACAGAUGAGGCGCUUGCUCCUCUGACGUUAGCGGCGGACGGGUGAGUAACACGUGGAUAACCUACCUAUAAGACUUGGAUAACUUCGGGAAACCGGAGCUAAUACCGGAUAAUAUAUCGAACCGCAUGGUUCAAUAGUGAAAGACGGUUUUGCUGUCACUUAUAGAUGGAUCCGCGCCGCAUUAGCAAGUUGGUAAGGUAACGGCUUACCAAGGCGACGAUGCGUAGCCGACCUGAGAGGGUGAUCGGCCACACUGGAACUGAGACACGGUCCAGACUCCUACGGGAGGCAACGGUAGGGAAUCUUCCGGAAUGGGCGAAAGCGUGACGGAGCAACGCCGCGUGAGUGAUGAAGGUCUUCGGAUCGUAGAACUCUGUUAUUAGGGAAGAACAAAUGUGUAAGUAACUAGGCACGUCUUGACGGUACCUGAUCAGAAAGCCACGGCUAACUACGUG